rnacentral:sRNA from 1 species
UCUGGGCAUGGUGGGGCAUGCCUGUAAUCCCAGCCACUUGGGAAGCUGAGGUAGGAGGAUCGCAAAUUCAAACCCAACCUCAG